rnacentral:rRNA from 2 species
CUAAGUCUAUACACUGCCCUGAAAGUGAAGGUGCCUGAUCUCAUCUGAUCUUGGAAGCUAAGUAGGGUCUGUCCUGGUUAGUGCUUGGA